UGGACGGGCCCGCCCCCCCGCGCCGAUUGGCCCGGCCGCCUGUUCUGCGGUCGGACUCGGGCCAGCAGCUUCGCAGGAUUGGUCAGAGCCGAGGCCCCGCCUCUGAGAGGCACUGUCGAUCACUCCGGGCCCGCCCUCACCCGCCCCCCUGGCGACCGGCGCUAGUGGAUUGGUCGGUGGGAAUCGGAAUGGUGGAAAAUCUGGGAUGGAUUCUUGGGCGCUUUUGUUCCCUCAGAUUAGCCCGGAGCCUUGUUUUUGGGAAAAGACGGGCGUUGGGCCUUGGUACUUUAUUCACGAACGUGAUGGCAAGGAGGUGGCGAUGGGCCUUAGAAGAACUACUGGCGCCGGGUUUCCCUCUGAUCUGCCCGAGCCACGCUGUGUGACCUUGGGCGAGUCGCUAUUUCUCUCUAAGCCCUAGGCGCCUCCGGGGGAAGAUGCGGGUAAUAAUACACUCCCGGGGGGCUGCUGAGAAGGUGGUGAGCUCACAGUGGGCAAGCACCUGCGUUUUUGAGGCGGCAGGCCCGCUUAGGGCGAAGGUGAUGGGGAGAGCAAGCCUUCUCCCCAACAUCUGUCAGCCAGGUCUGUCAGCCGGCCAGUCAGCCCGCCCUGUCAACGGGAAACCUCGGGCCCUGGAACCGAGAAAAAUGCAAACCCACGGGCAGGGGCAGGGCUCAAGGACUGCCUCAACCCUGGCUUUUGAUUGGCACCGAGAAGCAGUUGGGGGAAGGGGAGGUGAGCAUCCAGCCCCUUCCAGUGCUUAGGAUGCAGGGCCCACCUUGUGCAGACAGAGAAACUGAGACCCGGGACGAGAUGCCCCACUCCCAUUCCUGGAUGGCGUUCUCUGAUGUCCUGGAGGUAUAGGCCGACUGUCCCUUCCUGGGCAUAGGAUAUCGGGACCUGGGUCAAGCUGAGCCCCGCUGUAGAGCCUGCAGUCAAGUCUGUGAAGCCGGUAAAUAGAGCCUUCCUGUCUGGUCCAAGGUGCUGAAAACUCUAGGCAGAACAUUCCUGGCCUGGCGUCUCCCACCUUGAGCGGAUAUUGCCCGCCAAGAGCCGGUAAACUGUUCCCGUGCCCUACCCACCCCCUUGGGCGCAUUUUUUCUGGCUAGCCCCAUGUGCUGGGAGGCUUAGGGGUAAGUGGGACUCCUGGGGAGCCCACUAGGCCCCCACCUGGUUUCCCAGGGCAGACUACCGAGUCACAGUUCUGUGUAGUUGCUGAGAAGACAUCCAUCCCUAAGUGUAAGAGCCACGAAGCAAAAAAAAAGCCUAACCUGGAAAACGGCACACCCCCUACUUGCUACAGGAAUGCCCCAGCACCCACGGACACUUGGGUGCUUUGCCCCAGCUCUGGUGGCUAGCUGUGAGACCUGGGCUACCUACUUAAUUAACCCUUCUGAGCCCGUUUCCUCAUCUGUAAAGGCAGCCUAGAGCCCAGCCUGGCGGGUGGCACUGGAGGUCAUGGGUGGUGCCCAAAGCCCUUUCAGGCUGGAAAGCUGGGGCUCGACCCAUAGAAGGCCCUGGAUGGAGCUCCUCUAGAUCAACCUGCCUUCUUGCUGUGGGGUAUGUUAUUUAAAGCCAUGCUGGAUUGAAUAACAGCCCCUGAAAGUUCAUGUCCACCUAGAGCCUCUAAAUGUGGCCUUAUUUAGAAAUAGGGUCUCCGCAGAUAUAAUGAAGGUCAGACUCAAGUCACACUGUGCCAGAUUAAGGAUAGGUCCCCAGUUCAAUGAGAAUGCCCUAGCAGAAGCUGUGUGUCUUCCGGGGCACAGGUGGCAAGGACAGAAAGUGCGUGUAAAGAUAGACUCUACAGUUAAGGGAUGGCAAGAGGCUGGCCAGAUCCUCCCCUGUGCCUUCUGUGGGGACGGCGGCCACCACACUUUGACUCUAGAUCAAGGCCUCCAGGGAGGAGGAUGUGGCUUAUGAUUGAGGUUGGGGCAACCACAGGAAACCAGGGGAAGAUUACUCCCUCCUUUGCUUCAGCUCUAGGACCAGACCUCAUUCUGAGAUUGGGGCUGUAGAAAUGAGUAAGACCCAAGCCCUCACACCCAAGCUUUACGGGUCUCUGCUCCCUUGCCUCCCUUCUCAAGCUUCCCAGCCCCGGCGCAGUCCCGGGCACACUCUGUCCUGGGAGAAGAUAGUCAGUGGCCAUGCCUCUGUUGCUGUCCCUACUUCAGCACACUCCAGGCCUCGUGUUGGGAAGCUCCGGGUGUCUGUGGCAGGCCCCAGUGCUCGGGGCUCCUUCCUUGGCACAGCCUCGCCUGUGGGCUCCUGAGCCUUCCACUUCAUGUUUGGAGUCCACUCUGUGCAGACUAUGGACUUUGGUCGUCCCCCUCCUUAAUGGAUCCCCAGAUCCAGCCUGACUUUACCCCAAUUAACUCCAUCAACAGAGAACCUAUUUCCAAGCAAAACAACAUGCUGUGGUUAUGGAUGCCUGCGGGUUUUUGGAGGACACUGUGCAGCCCUGAGUGCCCCCUCUUUUGCGGUGGACCUGGCUCUGUUUGGUAAAACAACGACGACGAAGCAUUCCGGUUAAGCAUGUAACUUGUCAAGGCAUAAAGAUUGCCUAAGAAAGACUUUCAGUCCGGGAUAUCAGCAUCACCCUUUUGAAGGGAAAAAGGAAAUAAACAGGGAAAACAAGCAGCUGAAGGUCACGUGUGAAGUUGUCUCACAAGGCAACCGAGGAGACGUCUCCUGAGCUUCAGAGCCAGGUGUGACAGUGUUCACCUGUCUCAGCACCCAGAGAGUGGAGACGGGGGUUGUGGGUUCCACCCCAGCCUGGGCAAAUAGGGA